GUUUUCAUUGGUUUAAUUUCAAUAAAUUGCUUUUGUUUUCUUUACCUUUUUUUUGUUAUUACAAUUACUUUAACCAUUUUACCUUUAUUAGUUGAUCAACAAAUUUGUUAAAUUGAUUGAUAGUUGGUUUUUAAAGUUGCGGUACAACUAUCAAGAUUACCUAAUCUUGAUUUCUAGAAUGAUCACAAGGUCGAUGUUCCCUAAUGAUGUCUCCAAAUAUACCUAUCCGUUAUUCAAGCAAUUUCAACUUUCAUCAUCUUCAAGAGCCAAGCAUGACUUUCCUUUGGUUUGCUCUGUCCAAUGAAAUUAACCAUUAAACAUCAUGUGCGUUUCCACCACUAUUCAGAUACUCAUACAAGAUUUGACUGGUAGAUGAAUAUAUUUUUUAUAAUUAUGUUUUGGGCUCUAUCUGUGUGUAGGCUCUAUCUGCAUAUCCAAAUGUAUUUAUUCUUCUCAUGCUGUGUUGAUUGCCUUAAUCUGUAUCAUGGAACUGUUUGAUGUCAACUUAACCUUUCAAAGUUACUAGUCUAGCUGGACAUCUCAACAUAUUAUUAAUCAAGCAAUCAAUCAGUGUAGUUACAUUAAUACAUGGACACAGGCGAAAGAGAUGGAAGAAGUGAAGAGACGAGGCAAAGGAAAAAGUGGAAAGGAAAUAAUCUCAUUUCGAGUCGAAAGAUUUUUGGAGAUGAUAUUUAUUGCAUAAAAAUAACCAGAACCAAUAAAUCAAUAGUUGAGGCAAUAUGGGCAAUGUUGAUGGUGAUGAAGGCGAUGAAACCAAUAAAAUGGCUGGAUCAAAAUUCGUAUCGAGAAGUUUAAUCGCAACACCGAGACAGAAAAAUGGCAAAAUGUGAAUCAAUGAUAGUGGAUCAAUUUAAAUUAUUGACUAUUAUACACUUUACGAGUGAAGGCAACAACCCAAGAAUAUCAAAGAUCUGGUGAUUUAAUCAUUUCUGUAAUUAUUAACUUCAUCUAUCAACUCUAAUAAUUUCCACUUAAUUGCUCAUUAGACUGCCAUCUAUAACAAUUGGUGCAACAUAGCAAUUUAUUUCAAGACAAGUUAUAAACAAAAGGUGAAAAAGGACAAGCUCGUAACCUGAAUUGAUAGGGACAAUUUCCUCAUGAACUAUGGUGAACAAGAUUAAAGUGUCUUCAACCAGCAAUGGCAAUCUAAAGAAUCUUGGAUAUUAACAAUUGAUGAAACAAUUACUAAAAGAUCGAUAAUGGAAAGAUUAACAAGAUGACAUGAAGAUUGGUUGGACAUGAGCAAAAUUUUUUAACAUUUUACCAAAAAUGGAUUCUCAAAAUGACUUUGAGCAAAGAGAGGGGAAUAAAAGAUGGCGAUGGUGAAAAAGAGUCAGCGAGGAUGAUGAAUAGAGAAAUUAAUUUUGUGAAUUUCAUUUGCUGUUGAAAUAAUCUUCCAUCCAGAUUAAUCUCAUACUCAUUUGAAUACAAAAUUGGAGAGGAAAGCCAAAGCAGUGUGUCAUGUAGUCUUUCAAACAACUAUAUUUUUCCUGUUGCAGGUCAAAAAUCGAUAUCAACCAAUGCUUUUGGGUUGCCAGAAUUAACACUGUUUCUAUGGUUCACAUGAAUUUCCACCAACACAGGGAAAAGCUGGAAGCAAUCAAGACUGUCGAAAGACAAUUUAGACACAACUCUUUUCCCCUCAUCCUCCUGUCUUUCCACUUUUUCAAAACUGAUGACUUACUUUUCAAUAAUUUAAUGGUAAAUUCAUGAUGGCAACCAAAUGAAGAUAAAUUGUAAUUGUUAAAGUAAAUGAGCAAGGUGGUUAAGAUUGUCGGGUAAACGGGCAGCACAAGGCACUAUUGGUCAGUGACAUCUUCAUCUCAUAAUUAAAGUGUUUACUGGUUGAGAGGUAAACAUUGAUCAUGAUGGAAGGCCCAUUAAAGAUGAAAAUGUAGCAACCAGAAAAGUAUAAUACAUUUAUUACAAUAUAAAUAUAUAUUUAUAUAAAAAGUAGAGAAAAAAAAGAAAAUUUUCUUUUUCUUUUCAUCUUUAAAAUGUAACUGGACUCAUCCAUCAACAUCUAUCAGCCUUUACAACUUACAAUAUUCACUUCAUCAUCAUCAUCAUUUUACUUCUUAUUCUUAUCAUCAUCUUCAUUGGAUCUUACCUUUUAACUUUUUUUUCUCACAAAAGUCUAUUUUACAAUUUCCUCUUCAAGGUCAUCAUCAUUAAUUUCAAAAGGUGAAAAACAUUCUUCUCUCUCUCUCCUCAUCAUUUCAUGAGCAUCUUCAUCUACACCUUUACAUGUUCGCCUCUUUAUCAGCUUCUGUUGAUCACUUUGACUUGCAAUGGUUGAUUCUCAUGAAUUUAAAACAAUUUUCUCUCUCUCUCUCUCUUUUAAUUUCCUCCAAUGAAUCCCAUGUUAGCAACAUUUGACUCUUGCCCAUAAUCACUUACAACGCAAAAGGUUCAGUAAUCAGUGAAGCCCACCCCACCAACAGUAGCAAUUAAAGAGCACAAUCAAUUUGGAUCUAAAUUAAUAUCUCAACAGCAAGUAAAUGAGUACUCACAGAGAGAGCGAGGCAAAAAAACAUGAAAAAACAACAAAAAAAAAGUUAAAGAGCAACAAGAUAAAAAGUAAUUAAUAAAUGCAUUUGUAGGUAGAAGGUGAAUGUUGAACAAAAGCAUUCCCUCAACAUGAAUUAUCUGGGCUAAGAAUUGAAGUGAACGAGUAAAUAAUACAGUUGAAAUGUAACCCUCAUCAUUAACUUGAUCAACAUUAGCAUUCCCUGUGAUUCAUGUCUUCAGAGUAACCUUGAAUAAAUCUGAUUCGGAAGUUGCAAAAAUUGCAAGUAAAAGGCUGAACAAGAUCAACUAAUAGGGAAACUAAUAAUGCUACUUGAACCCGUAAACAGUAACAAGAAAAGCCUUUAGCCUCUCAACAAUUUUUUUUCAUCUUCUUCUUCUUUCUCUCUUCAUGGUUGAUCAAUAUUUUUACAGAUUUGAAUAAGAUUGAAAAGCUGUUAAUAUUGAAGGUUCAAGGUUGAUCAGUUUAAUAUACAUUAUAAUAUCCCAAGUAAAUAACCAGAAUUGAAGAGUUCAGAGAAGAAAAAUUUUUCUAAAUGAAAAAGAUAAACAAAGUUCAAUUUUUUCCUUAUUCCCGGUGAAUCAUGAACAGUUGAACAAUGAAAAUGAAUGCAGAGUGAACCUGAGACCUAUACUAAAAAUAGCAAUUCUAAUGCAAAAUGCUGUCCAGAAAUGAUGAAUUUUUUGUUUUCUCUUUGCUCAACUUCAUUGAAACAAUUGACCAUCUUUUGACGAUUGCUUCUCAUUAGAUGCUCCAUGACAAUUGAUGCAAGUUUUGAAUCUUUAUUAAUCUCUAUUGAACCUUAAUCUUUUAAACUUUUCCCUGAACAGUAAAUGUUUGUAAUCAUCUUAACAUGUUAAGCAGAUUUGAUUAUGAAUUUGUGCUUGAAAAGAUUCCCGUGAUAGUCGAGUUUCUCAUUCGAUUAUCACUGAAUGAAGAAAUAUUAAUAAAACUGAUGCCAAUGUUAAUCUUCUUUAAACAGCUUUCUCCAUCCUUUUUUGAUUCCUCCUCAUCUUGUCUACUUUUUGUUUCGCAGUUACUUUUUAUUCAUAUGCAUACAUCACUCAGCACGAGAUGAAGAUUACAACAGUGAAAGGCUGUUCGAUAAAGAUGAAGCAAAAGCAAAGUUUGAAGCAAACAUUGCUUUUCAUUAUUAUCUUCAUCUUACCCUGGACUCACUCCCCUUUAUCCUCAGCUUUAUCUUUGUUUCUUCUUCUGCUUCCACCUUCCACUAACCAGGCAUCAACUGGCCGUGUGUCUAUUCAACUAUCUAAAUGUCUAUCUGUUUGUGUGUGUCCAGCGACAACUCAACGGAUAUCAUUCGGAGGGUCUGUUUGGUUCUUUGAAACACUAAACCUUUUUGCUUUUUUUCAGACUUUGCUUCUUCUUCUUCUUGCGUUCAUCUCUGUUUCCUUUGCCUGUCCACUUCAAUGAAUCUCUUUUACAGUCCAAAUUAUCACCCAAAAUAAUCUUCUGGCUUGACAAAUACAACAUUUUCAAGAGUAAAACUCAUUUUGUUAAACUCUGCAAGCCUAAGUACCUUUGAUUAAAUGGUCUCACCUUCGUCCUUUGCAUACUUGUUAAGGCACAUGCAAAGUCUCUCAGUUGCUUGUCAAAAUCAGAAUCACUGUGUUAUUUUUUUUAAUAAACAUUGAUAAGUAUUCAUCAAGUUGAAAGAUUAUCAAUGAAAUUACCUUUUUUCAUUUAUGCAUCCAUUGGUAGCCUCUUCUGUUGAUUGUUUAUCGCUAUACAAGAGAUUCUGUUUGUCGAUUGUUGCUGCUGUUGUGAUGAUAAAGAGGAGGAUGAAAGAGGGAGGAAAAGGAUAAAGUAAAUAAGUAGAGGGAAGAUGAAAACAGAAAAGCCUGAUUAUUCGAGUUGAUAGAUUUUUUUCCACUUUUUUCUUGUUCGAUGACAAUAAUGAACAUUUAUCGACUGAUAGCCAGUGCAAGAUGGCUCAACAUCCCAAUUAUCAUUCCUACCAAUACAAUGUUUCUCCCUAUUUCUCCUACUCACCUAUUAUCUACAUAAUAUUUAUCUUCUUUUCUCUUUUUCCUCCUCAUCCCUAACCAUUAUCAUUCUUUCUGUUUCAUUUCAACUCUGAACAUUAAACAAGGUCAGCUCAUUUUGGCUCUUCUCUCCUUCCUAUCAGGUUAACAAGGGAACCACUUAUAUUGAGCUCGACUGUAUAUUGCAGUUGAACAGCAAAUCAAUUGGAAACAUUUGCUUGUCACUAAUAAGAGAUGAUGAUGAGGAGAAGAGAAAAAAUUCAUCAAUGAAUAUUCAGCUUUAAUGAAAAAAGGGAGAAAAAGAGAAAAAUGUUUUCAAUAGAAGAAGAAGAAAGAAGGCAAAACUGGAUAACAAACGGAAAUAGAAGAAUGAGAAUAAUGUGUCGUCAGGAUAAGAACGGGUAGGAACAUUAGCUGAGCACAAUGGAAGAACGGAAAGAAGAGAAGAUGAAAAUUGAUGAUAAAAGGCGAGAGAAAGAGAAGGGAAGAGAAAGAGAGAGAGAGAGAGAAAGAUGAAAAAGAAAGAGAAGGUUCAAGUACACUUUUGAAAGGCAAAGGCAGCAAAAAAACAAAAAUAUUGAGCAGAUGGUUUGGAAGCGUUAUAACAUGAUUGAAGCAGUAAAUGUACACACACAUUAAUGUUGAAUACAACAAAAAAGUCGCUAGCGAAAUGUCAUCUGAAUAUCUCACAGAGAGUAAAGAGAGAUUAUUUGCUUGCUGUCCUUUCACCAGAUUUAGAUCUAUUAUUCAUUCAUCAUGAAGAGGAGGGGAAGAUUAAAGAUGAAUACAAGAAGGAAUAUUUUUUUACAAGUAAUUCUCUAUUGAAUGGUUUUAUCAAAAUGGCUUCAUUUUUUGGUGUUUCCAGAGGCAAAUGAGAGAAAUUUUAGAUUCGACAAAAAUCUGCUUUUCCAUUUUUUCAGUUUACAUUUUAUCUCGCACGUUUCCCAAGCCUUAUGGGGUUCAAUUUUGCAACCUAACAGAGUCACUCUUUUCCCAUUAAACAAAACAUGUAAUUGGACUCUUACGUAAAAAAUUUUCAUUUCCAUUUUCAUUAUCGUUCCAUGAUCUCAUGUCCAUUUACAGCAUUUUUCUCAUCAUCUGCAUCUUUAUUUACAUCAUCAUGUUCAUCAUCUUUCAUUGAUGAUUUUUUUUCAUCAUUACCAGGUCGGGUUUGGGAGGCUGUAUGAGGCAAGUUUUGGCAACCUAACAGAGUCACCCUUUUCCCAUCAAACAAGGCUUCUAAUGAGGGUCUUUACGUGAAAUUUUUUCCACUCUCAUCAUUCUCAUUGUAAUUUGAAUCUCCUUCUUAUUUUUUGCUUUUUUUUCAUUGUAACCAGGUCGAGUUUGUUGGGCUUCACAAGAUUACUUUUUCAACCCAAGAAAGUGACUCUUGUUGCACUGCACAACAUACAAUGAGGCCUGUUUUUACGGGUAAAAAUUUAGUCCUUCUCAUCGUUAUUUAUUCGAAAAUUGGAAAACAUUUUAUCUUCAUUCAUUCUUGCCUUGACUUUUGUUAUUCAAAUCAAAUGUGAUGAUAAUUUUUGCCUUCUUCUCAUGACCAUUGACGAUGAUGAUAAAUAUGCAAAAAUAUAUAUUGAUGAUGCAUUUUUUUGUGUGUUCACUGACAAACACGCAACUCUCUCAGGUCACCAAACCUUUCAUAUAAUAUCUUAUACAUCAUCAUAAUCAUUCUUUCUGUCUUUUUUCCUUCUCUUAUGGAAUUUUCAUUUACAUCACAGAUUUACUGUCGAUAACUUUGCCUCUUUCUUUUUCCCUUUCCAUUCCCUUUUUCAUCCUCUUCCUAACCAAUCAAUAUAUCGAACGAGGAUAUUUUUGAACCAUUUUUUCUCUCUUUUAUUCGCCAAUAUCAGAUACAAAGUUGAAUAGCAAAACUUGAAAAAGAAGAAAAAUGUCAGAGAAAAGAGUAGUUUUUACAUUGAAAAACUUUUGUGCUGAGAAGAUGAAAAGAUGAGGAUGAGAAAAGGAAAAAGUCAAAGUAAAACAUUAAAUGAUUCAUAAAAAAAACUUAAGUGUAUUACAUGGAAGAAAAUGUUGAAUUAUUUUUGAUAUUUUGUGAACUCUUUUCAUUCUCAUGCUCAUUUUCAUGUUGAAAGUGCACUUUGAUCAAACUGUUGGCAUUAAUGCCUUUUAAUGGUGUUUCAUUCAUUCCUUUUGUUUUCUUUUCAAUCUUCAUUAAAUCAUUUUAAAUCAACUGCACAUGAUUUACCAUUACCAUCAUUAUCAUCAUCAUCAUUAAUAAUCAACAUAAUUGUUGAACUUUACCAAUGAUUUGAGGGUAAAAAAAAGAGAAAGAAAAGGAAAGCAAAGUUGGUAAUAAAACGUCACAAGAAAAGCAAUGAAAAGUUGUAAAUCUCUGUUCAAUUUGAAAGCUUAUAGAGUCAUUUGUUUUUCUUGUGCCAAUAACAAGGUAAAAAUUAAAUGGUCAAUGUCAUGUAAUAAUUUAAAGCUCUCUGUUUUAUUCACCUUUGAAUAAUCAAUAGUUCAAUAAACAUUUCAUUGUUGACUCUCCACUAUCAUUUCAACAAUUAAUUUUCUCUGUUUUUUUU